rnacentral:rRNA from 1 species
AUGAUAACUCAAGGUUGGGCAGCGGCGGCUGUGGUAGCAAACGGUGGUGGCGGCACAAGAGGAGAUGAGAAGAAGGCGGCUCCAGGGUGUGACGUGGAGGCACUGCGCAAGUGCCUGGAAGAGAACAAGGGUGAUCGCGUCAAGUGCCAGGCCCACAUCGACGCCUUCCGAUCCUCAUGUUCUGUCAGCCCCACCGCCACCUCCAACCAACGUCCCAGCGUAUGA